GCUUUUAUUCCUUUCUAUGUUCUAUUUAUAUAAGCUUUGGUGCUAAUCAUACUCACAAUUCACUAAGGCAACUAACAGAAUUCCACUACUAACAGAAUUAUCAAUCCACUAACGCCACUCAUAAUUACUAAUAAUCUUUGGCAUUUUGCUAAAUAGAAAACAUUGCUAAUAUCCACGACUGUUACACGUAAUCUUCAAGGUAGGCUGGUCGAGUUGCACUUCUCUUAGGCCUACUGUCUUGGGCCUCUAUUGCAUUUGUAGUCUCUGAUAUGCUUGGGUUCUAGUUGCAAUCAAUCAACCUAUGAAACAUUUUAGCAUCACCAACACCAUCAAUUGUCAUGCUGCCACUUUGGUUGAGAUAUUUAUAUUCACGAUAUAGGAGAAAAUAUUUUCAUGCUCAAUUAAAUUGAUGAAGAAAUCACAAUGUGAAGCUAACAUAUCACUUCAUAUGCAUAAAUUGGGGUCGAUAAAUUUCCGUAUAAAAUCUAGUGUUCAUUUAAGAUUUGUAACUAAUAUUAUAGGGAAGGGGAGAUCUUUAUAGAUGACAACACUGGGAUCAGAUGUGUACAAUGGAAUAUCUCAAAAAUGGUCAUUUUGAUCUCAAAGAUGCACAGAGGUGUACAAGUAUGCAAACUAAUAGAUAGGCUAUGUAGAAAAUGCACCUUUAAAAUUAGAUGAAGAUCCAACACAAAGUUGAUAAAAUAUGUGAUAUGACCUCUCGCCCAAGGCAAGUUGAACAACUCUUGACUGUCCAAGAGACAAGAUGAUUUUAGAAGUGAAGAAUAAUAAAUAUUUCAGUUUCACACUUUUGUUCAAAAAGAGCAUCUCAAGUUACCUUUUCUAACAGAACUCUUCAAUUUAGCAUAUGGGAAUUGGCAUAUGAGAAACACAAAUCAUAAGAAUAAGCUUGGUUAGUAAAUUGAAAAAACAAAAAAAAAUAUCAGAAAAGAGGUAAUUUUAUUAACAUAUUUAAUUCAAACAAUCUUAGAAGUUUGAAUUUUUGCCCCAUAAAUUUUCCCCAUUGUACUGAAAUGAAUUUCAAGCAACUUCCCCUACACCCAAUUAAAAAUGAAUAUCAACUAAAUUGCUCAGCCAUUAGAUAGCAUCCACACAUCUUAUAGAAAUCUUAUAGAACGAAGAAAAGGUGGAGUAGGUUCCUUCCACUACAUUGAAAAGAAAUGCAAAUUCACAAAUCUGCUAGAGUUGUCAUUUCUAGAUGUUUUUGCAUUCCUAAAAGCUUCUGGUUUAAAGUGUCUGAAGAACUUUAUUUUCUAUUCCAUAACAUCCACCACCGAGAGCAAUUAAGUAUUGCAUAGAAAUUUUUGUUGUCUCUGGUUUCCCAGAUCCACUCUUGCCACUAUAAAAAAAUUUGAGUUUAGGAACAUGUAUUAAGAGGCGUGCAUGAAACAAAUCAUCUAAUGUGCUGAGUGUUAACCUUAUGAUAAUGAACUGAUUUGCUUCAUCUAAAAUGUACAGCAUGCAAACAAAAAAGCUUUGUAUCACACAAUUGCAUUAUAAAAGUUUCAAGGAGGAGAAAGAAAAAGCGAAUUCCUUUUACCUCUAAUGUAUUUCCUCAAAUAAACUUUAUUGCACAAACUAUAAAAUCCUGAUUGUAAAUAGUAGAAAACAGGAAAUUAGAAAAAGCCUUUAUCAUUGGUGAUUUUUUGGCAAAAAACUAAUCAUGGAAAAAGACCUCUCCAUUAUCGGCUAUAAUUAAAAUAUUAAUCAAAGUGCUUGCUUAUGAAAAUUAAGAUGUAAAGUACAAGGCUUUAAACUUGGUGUACUAAAAUUAAUUUGGACAGAAAAUUAAAGAUAAAAUGUACCACCAAUAGUUUUGAGUUGAAAGGUAUGGAAUGAUUUUUCCUUUAAAUGGUAAGUACUAGAGCACUUUAUAAUCUACCUGGAAGAACUAAUUCCAUACGCUGGACUUCCCAAGACUCAAAGGAUGCUCCCAAAAGUGAUUUCGGAUAUAGAUAGCAAUGCCCUUGCACAGUUGGCAUCAUCAGUAUCACAAUUUGUCGAGUUGAACAUCUUCCUUGUGAUUUCUGGCUACCUAGCCACACAAAAAUUCCACAAAAAUUCCACUUGUACACACAUACACCCUAUCUUUCCACGUUGGCACACAUGCACCCUAUCAUUGUCAGUUUGUGACAGAAAGAACCAAGUAAACUACAAAUAAAUUCAAAUAAUUAAUGUGAUGACACAUUCCUUAGAAUUAUCUCUCUUCUACAAACCAUAGUUUGUCACAAGAAUGAACAUGAUAAUGUGCAAAGAAAUGUUACUUCAUUCUAAAGCUCUAGCUCAACCCCUGACAGUUUUCAGUUAUUUCUCAUACAAUCUUAUGACAAUUAAUGCAUCUUUACAACUUCACCCCCCUUCCAAACAAAACAAAAGUUUAACAAAAUUAAUGAGAUGAUGACACUAAGGCAUCAAAGCUCCCUAAGAAACUAACUUACAAGAUUCAUGAAAAUCUUCUCUUUGAAUUGUUUGUGCUAUGACCGCUUCUUGACUAAUUUAGCUGACCAAAGCCCUCGAUCUGGUGGAAGAUAUCCAAGCAAUAGCUACAAGUAUCAAAAAGCAUAAAUUGCAACAACAUUCCAUGAUUUCAUUUCCAUUGUUUCAUCAAUAAAGGAAAACAAUCUUGACUAACCAAUAACAACCAAACCAUAUCCUUACUUAGACUUAUGAACACACGACCUGCUUGGUUGGAAUGGAAUAGGAAUAAGCCAUUCACAUAUUUG
rnacentral:lncRNA from 1 species